AUUGAACGCUGGCGGCGUGCUUAACACAUGCAAGUCGAUCGGUAACAGGUGUAGCAAUACAUGCUGACGAGAGGCGGACGGGUGAGUAAUGCUUGGGAAUCUGCCUAUUAGUGGGGGACAACCCGGGGAAACUCGGGCUAAUACCGCAUACGCUCUACGGAGGAAAGCCGGGGACCGCAAGGCCUGGCGCUAAUAGAUGAGCCCAAGUCGGAUUAGCUAGUUGGUAGGGUAACGGCCUACCAAGGCGACAAUCCGUAGCUGGUCUGAGAGGACGACCAGCCACACCGGAACUGAGACACGGUCCGGACUCCUACGGGAGGCAGCAGUGGGGAAUAUUGGACAA
rnacentral:rRNA from 1 species